rnacentral:ncRNA from 2 species
UAUAAUCACUAGGCUAACGGUUCUAGCGGGGAUCAGCUGCUAGAAGCAAUGGGGAAAGUGCAGUGUAAGUCUGCCGCUGUCCCGCAACUGUAAUGAGACUAUUGGUCUCUGAGUCAGGACGCCCACCGUUAUCCCGUCAAAACA